GGGGAAAAAAAGUAAAAUUAGUUAAACAAAUUUAAGUUAGAUAUAAACAAACAAAUAAAAGACAAAUCAAAUCACUAUUCUAUAAAGUCCACUAAAACAAGAAAUUUGUUUUUACUCCCCAUUGUAUUUCCAGCACCUAACCCUGAGUAUGGCACAUGGCAGACAUUCAAGAAAUACUUUUCCACAAAUGAACAAAUGAAUGAAAUCUCAUGUGUCUAAAUUCUUUAUUGUGGGAACUGGCUCACUUCUGCUUCUACAAUGAAGAUUCAAUCACUGGCAUGGUAUAGGAGGAGGAGGACAGGGUCUUACUCUGUCACCAAGGCUGAUGUGCGGCAGCAUAAUCAUGGCUCACUGCAGUCUCAACCUCCCAGGCUCAAGCAAUCCUCCUGCCUCAGCCUCCCGAGCAGCUAGGACUACAGAUGGGUAUCUCAAACUCCUGAGUUCAAGCGAUCCACACACCUUGGCCUCGCAAAGUGCUAAGAUUACAGGUGCAGUGAGCCAAUGCACCUGGCCCCCUUUCUUAUUUUUUUAACUACUUCUAGACUAGGCAUGCUGAAGACCUACCCAUUUCCCCGGGUUUAAGAACCAUAUAUCCAACUCUGCACAUAUUUCCACCUUGAGGUCCCUAUGGCAGUAAACCCACUAUACCUCAAACCAAACUCAUCAUCAUAUCACCCACACUUGUUCCUCCU
rnacentral:lncRNA from 10 species